AUUGAACGCUGGCGGCAUGCCUUACACAUGCAAGUCGAACGGCAGCACGGGGCAACCUGGUGGCGAGUGGCGAACGGGUGAGUAAUGCAUCGGAACGUGCCAUUGAGUGGGGGAUAACGUAGCGAAAGUUGCGCUAAUACCGCAUAUUCUGUGAGCAGGAAAGCAGGGGACCGCAAGGCCUUGCGCUCUUUGAGCGGCCGAUGUCAGAUUAGCUAGUUGGUGAGGUAACGGCUUACCAAGGCGACGAUCUGUAGCGGGUCUGAGAGGAUGAUCCGCCACACUGGAACUGAGACACGGUCCAGACUCCUACGGGAGGCAGCAGUGGGGAAUUUUGGACAAUGGGCGCAAGCCUGAUCCAGCCAUGUCGCGUGAGUGAAGAAGGCCUC
rnacentral:rRNA from 1 species